CCUGGGACCUGGGGUCCAUGCUCCUGGAAUUGUGCUCCCAGGGCCACAGCUCCCGAAGGCAGCAGGGCACAACCCCCUCCUUCCAGAGCCACCUGUUUGACCGACUGGCUUCUCCCAAGGACCCGCCAGGACUACAAUGUGAUGCCAUUCAAAAACUUGGAGAUAAGGGGAUGCCUGGGUGGCUCAGUGGUUGAGUGUCUGCCUUCAGCUCAAGAUGUGACUCCAGG